AUCCCAGUGCUGUCUCCCUUCUGUCUAUAAGUAGUGAAAUUUUUAGUUAAAAUAUUUAUGUCUAGUGUCAUAGUUGUUGCUGAACAAAGCCCUUUAAAAGCCUUCCAUGUAAGCUGUUUGUAUUGUCUUGAGCAGGCUUUUUUCUUUUCUUUUCCCUCAGUUCCUUUAAAAAAGUACUUCAAGUCCCACAGAAAGAGGAGGAUCUUGGAAAACCCCCAGCCUAGAAGAAGAAAGCUUUGGUGUUAUAGGAUGAAGGUAAUAAAACGGGAGCUGUGCAGGAGUUGGCAUCAAGAGGUGGUUCAGGUAGAUGGAAGUCCAGAGGGAGCUCAGCCUCAAGAGGUGGUCCAGGAACACAUUCAGGAAGAUGAAAGCCCAGAAGGAGCUCAGCAAAUCUGCUCACCAGUACAGCUGGAGCAAGGAGAUCAUCCCUCAGCAGCACAGCUACCACCCUCUGCUCAAGAGCCACAGGGAGGUAAUGAUAUCCAUGUGCACCCACAGAGUCAGCCAGUGCAAGAAGACAUGGCCCCAAACAUGGGACCACAACCAGCGUCAAGGUGGGAGUUCCCAAAAGUGACUGUCAAGGUGCAGCCCCAGAACAUGAGCCAGGGGUGGGACUCCCCAGAGGUGACAGUGCAGGUGCAGCCUCAGAGGCCAAGCCCAAGAUGGGAAGCCCCAUCAGUGACGGUGCAGUUACAGCAGCAGGGCUCAGGGCCGUCUCUCCCACAAGUAACUGUACAGCUACAGCCCCAGGAGGGGGGACAAGACACUGCUGGCAUCAAGGUCACUGUGCAGCUGCAGCUGGGCUGUGACCCAGAAGAGGUAAACUGCCUCCAGAACCAAGGUGAGGAAGUGUUAGAUAAUGGAGAAGAGUGGACCCCCCAAAAAAAUCAGAGAGAGAUGAUGACAACAUCUGAAGGUGAGAGAGAGCUUGCUGUGGUGGAGCUGGUGCCACAGGGGUUUCUGAGCCAAAAACAGGAUCAAGGAGGAGAAGUGGAAAAAGCCCAGCAAGAUGAGACCCAAGAGGGAAGAGCAGAAGUGGUGGAGCUGCAUGACAUGCAGGCUGGAGACAAAGCAGACUUGAAUGGGAUGGUGACAGAGGAACAGCUGCAGGGCCAGAGGCAAGAGCAGGAACAGCUAAAAGCAGACCUGCUUCUGCAAAAGGAAGACCAAAGAAGUACAACGAUGAGACAGAAGCAUGGUAAUAUCCAAGAAGGGCCCAGGGAGAUUGUAGAAGACCACAAGGAAGACCUAGCACACAAACAGUCUAAGAAGCGUCCAAGAGAAUCUCCAAAUUAUUUUGUUGCUAUUCCAAUAACAGAUGAUCAGGUUGUGCGACUGUUUACUGGGCUGCACAAUGACUGCUGGGUUUUAUGGAGAAAGAUUGCAAAACAAAAGGAUAUUGACCCAGCUGUUUCGAUCUAUAUUUUGGACAGAAUUGAAGAUGUUCAAGAACUCAUACUCUCUAAAGAGCCUGACCUGUCAAGAGCUCUUCUUCCUGUUCAAACUAUGCACCUUACUAUAAUAGUAGCUCAUCUGGGAACAGAAGAAGAAGUGAAAAAGGCUGUUCUGGCACUGAAGCAAAGCAAGACUAAAGUGGAAGACAUCUUGCAGGGUAAAGACCUUAAUUUGACAUUCCAUGGCAUUGGAGAGUUUAAUAACCAAGUGCUAUAUGUGAAAAUGUUGGAGGAAGACCAGAAAAUGCUUAACAGAAUUACAGAAGCUGUGGAAGAAUGCUUUAUUGAAAUGAAUCUUGACAUUUCAGGAAGUAAGGGCUUCAAACCACAUCUGACUUUCCUGAAGCUCUCUAGAGCAUCAAGGUUGAGAAGAAGGCACACUUCAGAUGACAGAAGAAAUAUUUACUGAGAAUAUUUUAAGAAGCAUGUUGUCCCCUCUCAGAAUAAAACAAACUGCUGUCAUGUCUUCAUGAGGAUUCCAUGCCCUGGACCAAGCCACCUCAGUGAUGGACACCAUGUGAAUCAAAAGAAACAACAUCAGCACCUUAUUGGCAUUUUUUCUUUUGAAAGAAGAACAGAACAGAAUUGAGAAACAACUCACCUUUUUCAUUUGUUUUCUUCAUGAGGCUGGAAUGCAAAGAGUUUCACCAGAGUUGUGCAAACAAUAUUUGUAAGCUGUCCCCAGAAUAAUUAUGAAGAAGUUCUCCCUCUGGCUUCUGUACAUCCUAUAUUCUUCCCAUCAUGUGAGUAUGAGAAAGCAUCUUAAAAAUGUGCCACAACAAGAAUUUUACCUUUUGGUUUUUAUCUUCCCCCACUCCCAAGCUGUUGUGUUUUUCACUAACCUCACGUAUUUGCUUUUUGCAAAAAAACAAGAAAAAUUGAAGAAAUGUUCAGAAAGUACAAAAAGUUUAAACCUUCCAGUAUAAAUACAACAUGAAAUAAAGGCUUUAAAUAUCAGCAUAAUAAUCAUGAACCUUUCAGCUUCCUUCUGCAAAAACACAUGAACCUGGAACAAGAUUAAACUCACGUGCUAUUGAUAAUGCUUCUGAGUUGAGCAAGUGAAUUGGUCAAACACUGGCCAAAAAUUCUUAAUAAAUAAGUAAAAAUGUCAGUGUAACAUUUAUUACAUGUUUAAAAGCUUGGGUGAAAAAUGUAUGAUUCCUCUGGCUUUCUUUAAUGCUGUCAACUCACUUUUCCUUUUUCCAUCCCUUUCUUUCAUAUUUCCCCUUUGUCUCUGAAAAGGGCAGGAAAAGAACAUGAAAAGUGGUAAUUUAGUUUUUAAUUCCUCAAAAAUUUCCCAUUCUUUUCUUCAUUAAAAAAUCAGUCAUGUCAGGAUUAAUUCUUAAGAUACUUGAGAACAGCAGAAAAAGUAGCUGUGCCUAAGGCCCUCUGAGCUCCUUGGGCAACCUUGAGGAUGCCAUAUUGUUUGCCUGAUGCCUACAUUCCAAGGGAUACCUAGGCUGCUGAGAACCACAGAGGUUCUGUGACAGACAACAUGUUCUUGUUUGAAAAGCUGCUCUGAGCUCCUGAGAUGGAAUGGUCUAAAGCAGCAGGGACUAUUCCUUAAGGUUAUGUGCAAGUAAAGGUGGGAGACAACUCUUCUAGCAGACUAGAAGAUAAGAAAUUAAGGUGCAUUGCCUGAGUUGUUUAACCAUGGCCUUGCUUCUCGCUUUUUCUACAAAUACAGAAAAAUUCUAUCACAGUGAACUCUGAGCUGUCAUGCCAAAUGUUCUUUAUUAAUGUAUUUUUGUAGGUAGAAAGUUAAGGUUUAUUGUACUUUGGGGGAGACACUUCUUCACACUGGCUGAAACCCUACUGUAGUAGUUACAUCCCUCUGUGUCAUGGGUCACAGGGCACCCUUUAACGGCAUGGUGUGGAGAAAAGCAGAUCCCAGGAUUUGCCAAAUGCAAGCUGUUCAUUACAAAUUACUGACCUACUGCAAACACUAAAAUCUGCCAAUGCAUAUCUAGUUAACCAUCCAGCUAAAUUCCUCUGAAAGAAAGUUGGCUUUUUUUCCCCCACAGUAUUCUAUACACCUUCGUUAUCUACAGAAAGAUAAAGAGAUCUAAUGAUGUAAUUUUAAAACUUGUCUGCCAGGGCAUUGGGCAACAGCCAACAUUUCUUGUUAAAUUUUAAUUUUUUUUAUUUUUUUUUUUAAGGAGCAUGUGGAAUAGGAUGCAGCAUGGCCAAUAAAUCAUUUCAUCUAAGUAGAAGUGGAUCAUUAGCUGGGGUUGCCAUAGCUGGGACCUUACUGGACAGGUCACUGUUUCAUCAACAACAGUAUCUAGAAGAGGAUUAAGUAUUACCUGAUGUCAGUGUGUUAGGAACUUCAAGGUAGAGGUACAGCAGAGUAAUUUGCUAUGGGUAGUAAAAACCAGUACUAUUUAUGUAUAUAAAGAGUCUUGUGGACAAUGGCACACAAUAAUAUCAGAGAAAAAAAUACUUUUGGAGGUCUUAGGGAAGAAAAUGUGUGGCUGGGGUGGCAGAGUAAGGUAAUAUGAAGUCCCAGCUCUAUGAGUGUUUCUUUCUUUAACAAUCCUUAGUUUUAUUUUAGAGACCUAGGGGGAUAGUAAGCUCCUUGGUGUAUAGUUACACAUUAAGGAACACAUUUCUUCAAGAAGAAACUAAGGAGCCAAAGGUGUAGUAUAUGUAAGAUUAGCCUGCCCUGGAUUUGUGCCAGUCUAUAGUUUUGUUGAGUUUAAAGAAUCUGAGUUAGACAUAGUUUGAUACCUCUGUAGGUCACAAAAUGCUUGGGAGAAAACUUUUUAAUGAGUUAAACACUGCCUGGAGUUGAAACACUGCAAUUGUAGGGUUUUAAAUAUCUCUGUCACAGAGAAAUCUAAAAUACUACACAAAUAAAGAGAAACAGAAAGGUCAUUUUCUCUAGCUCAUACCCUGGGAAGCGUCUCUAUAUGGCUCUUUCUUCCAGUUCCUCUCCUUUACCAACAUUUAUUUUCUCAGAGGAUGUCCUGUGUUUUACUCUUACUUUCUAACAUUUGAUAGUCAGUCUAAAUAAAAUAAGAAAGCAAUGGUUUUGUAAUAGCAUCAUUUGGUAGAAGUUGGAAGCAAAACAGAAAUGUGGAAAAUACAGCUCCUUCAAGAUCAGAAUGUGUGAAGAAAGUCUGUUAAAAAUUAACACAGAAGUGUUUGAGCAGGAGGGAAAGAAGGAUGUUCCUGAUUUAGGGAUCAAUUCUGAACAGCAUGAAGAGGUGGAGGUUCAACAGAUUUUAGAGAAGGGGAAUUAAAGGAAUAUUUUUACUUAAUUUAUGUUGCUGCUAAAAACCAACUGAAGUGUAGGGGAACAUCUAUAUUUUAGCUAGAGAAAUGAAGGAUGCAGAAGGAAUGACUGAGUGAGCCCACUGUUUUCCCAACUUGGUGUGGAGAAAAUGUGAGCUCUGAAUGAUAAAUUGUAGAUAUCAGUGACAGUAACAUAAAUAAUCAUGAAAAAUAUUAAGAACAAAUGUAUAAUUCUAUGAUACUACUAAAGAUCCUUUAAUUAAGGAUCUUUUAUUUAAUAAUCCUUUAAUCCAGGCUGGUCAGGAGUCCACACACUCUACAAGGAGUCCACAAGGAGGAGGAAUGAGGUGCCCAGGGUCCAGGAGCCUUUGCCAGCUGCAUGGCAGGUCUUAGCAGAGUACUCACCAAUAGAUGAAAUCUGGAGAAACAUCCCUAGGGAAGCCAAAUUCCAGAGAGGCUGUCCUCUGCCCUUUCUAUUGCAGGAGUGAAGAGAGAUCUCAGUGCAGGCAGGAGCUGUCCUCAGGCCAUAAUGUGGCACUCACAGGCUGCCAUUCCUUCAUGGACACAGAGGCAGGGCAUCCCCACAGUGUUUGGGUCCCCUGUGUUUAAACAAAUAUAGCACCAAUUUGGGCACAGACAAAUGAGGAUGAAUGUCUGGGAGUACCAAUUCUGAAGCUGUUGACACUUGUGGUUGCUGUGGGUACAGCUGCAUGGGUGGGCUCCUUGCCUCAUAUUCUCUGCUUUUCCUGAGCUCAGUAAAGAGAAGGGAGGGGAGGCAGGGCCAGAGAGUGAAUCAGAUGCCUGAAAUUAGUUGCUGUGAAACCAAAGGCCAGACUGCAGUUGCAAGAAAGGCAAUAAUAGCAUUAAACUCUUGUGCAGUCGGUCUGGGCUUCAAAUCUCUGAGAAAAUGCUCCACACUUCUAACACCCUCCUGCCUCCUAACUCCUACCUCCACAGAGCAGUAGGUGCAUAAAGCUCCUGGUAACAAGUGUGUGCAGCACUGGAUACUUAGUCAUGAGGGGGAAUAAGGCUGGCAGCAGAGGUUGGUGCCUGCAGAGAGAAAACAUUUACCAGCUGAUGCUUCAAACAGCAGCUGCAGCAUCCUCAGAUUCACCAGCUCCCACUCAAAGACCUUGCCUGAAUUGAUUCAACAUGCAGCAGGAAGGCCACGUGCAUCAAUAGAGGAGCCUGAUCUCAGCAGAGAAACAUCUGGCUGUGAGUAUGAAAAAGUCUUUACCCCAGUGGGACCAACAAGGAUAAAGGUGAGAGCUCUGUGGGGUGUGGGAAGGGAGCAGAGCCUUUCCAGUGUCAAUGAUGCCCAUAAACCAUUUGUGGGGGAAGGAAGGCAGUGAGAAAUGUGCUUUUGAGAAUGGGAGAGGCUGAAGCGCAGAGCAGUAAUAAGGCAUUUGAAAUUAAGAAAAAUCAAGGCCUGCUACCUCAUCACUCAAGAGGUGGGGGAGCUGGCCUUGCACUGGGGAGAGGGACCUGUACUGGAACCAGGCAGAUUGAGCUGGGAUCCCAUUACUGUGUUGCUGCAACCUUGGCUUUACUGUGUAUAUCUGGAAGGAUACUGUUGGUUGGCAUUGGGUUUUGUAUGUAUAAAACUUGGGAAUGUCUUUCCAAAACAUACUAGGACAAAAUAUGCUGUGUUCUCUACAAGAUGUUUGUGGGUUUAAGUAUAUAUGUAUCUGUUCUCCUGUAUUUCUAUGUUGUAUGUGUAUAUAUAGAUGAGGGAAAAAAGAAAUACUUGAUAUAUGAGUAAAAUAUGGGUCUGUGGUCAAGCAUUUGCUCUGAAUAGUGGAAAGAUUCAGAAUAGAAAAAUGCAAUAUUUUUUAGUGAUUGAGAUGAACUUUUAUAAUUUUAAAAGUAUCUUUAUACUGUAUUAUUUGUCCAUUACUUUCCAGAAGGGUAUACAUGAUAUAUGGCUGAAUGCCACAAACAGUUUCUGUAAGGAAGUAUUUUCCAGUUGUCAAUAAAUGGGCAGUGUAUCUGAGAAGAGGAUUGCAUCACACUUUCUCCAGAUUUCCUAGCUGGCAGUCUCUGCUCACCUCCCAGCGGCCCUCUGCUCUGCUGCUCUGGCAGUGUUUAAUGUUCAGCUGGAGAGAAAAAAGAGGAUUGUCCUUUCAGAAUGUACAUACAUCAGCCCUGACUGAAAGAGAAAUACAGCAGGAAACACUGAUUCCAAAUUGCUAUUUAAAGUGUUGGACUUCUUCUGAAAUGCAGACACAACAGAAAUAAAACACAAGCUAAAAGCAGUGAUUUUUGUUCAAGUAGAGAAAGGACUCCCUUUUGGCUCCUUUUUAAAAGCAUUAACUAUAUCCAAAGAGCAGUUGAAAUGGGGUGAGAAUAAAAUGGUAUUUCUGAUGUAAACAACUAAGCUUUGAUAGCAAUAACUACUCCUUUAGAUACUGGUCUCUGCUGUACUAGAAUUUGGGAGGUAAAAACAGUUUCUUAUUCUUGGUGGCAAAUCUGCUGGGCUAAAUCUGAAGCUAAAAGCUCCAGAAUCUCCAGGCACAGCUUGCCAAGUCUAAAGGCUCCUACUAAACGUAUGUCAUCUGGAGGCUGAUACAUGAGCUACUGCUCAUAUACUGCACAGAAUUAUGCCAGCCCCUUAUGCGAGGCCCUCCACACAGGACACUGGGAUUUUGUGGCUGAGAAAUGGGUCUGGACCUGCUCCUCUCUUUGGUGUGGGGAGAAUGAUUAUUGCAUACUAGACAAGCAGUAAUGUGUAUUGUAUAUGACGUGCUUGCUCACUGGGUUGUUUUCUCCUACCUAGCCUGUCAGUAAUCAGAGACCAGAACUUGCAUGGCACACUUUCUGGACUAGUAUCACUUGGUGCAUUAGAUAGAUCUAAAAAUGAAUCACUUGCUGUGCUGCUCCCAAGACAUUCUUUUAUCAUCCUUGAGUGAUAGUAGGUAUAGAUGAUACCCCAAACUACCAGAAUUUCUUUGGGCUUAGUGCCAAUAUUUAAUGUCUUAAAAAUGAGAAGAUAUAGCUCUUAUCUAUACUUAGAAAAGCCUUUUUGGGGAUGCAGCAUGAUGUCCAAUUCUAGCAAAGACAUAUCCUGCCAUCUGCCACACUGAGCCUAUGUCUGAUUCUGAUCCAAUGCCAAUUAAAUCUAGCAUACAGAAAGCAGAGGUAAGGAGUCCAAAACAAUAAAGAGAACAUGAAGAUCACAGAGGGAAGUUGAUGCCUCAUUCCUACACCGGUAGGGAUCUAUCCACUAGCAAAGGGCUUAAAAGAAAGAGCAGAAGAAGGAGACCAGAAAAAAAUAUACUGACUGCAUGGCAAAAGAAAUGUUACCAUAUUGGUAUUCCUGAAGUACCUCAGCCGCCCCUUUUGCUUAGAGUAGGCAACAAUGACCUUAUCUCACAGAACUGGUAUGAGCAGUGGUUGGCUUUUUCAUGGUGCUUUAUUUAACCUACUAAUGAACCAAUAUACAAACAUACACUUGUAUGUGAGAAAAUAUGGACUUUAAUAUUAAACUUUUUUCAGAGAAGGCCAAAAAAUAGAGAUGCAGCUGCUCAUGCUGAAUUGCUAAGCAUCUGAUCAACUCAGGAGUCACAGUGCCCUGGAUGGAGUUGGGAGCAGUCUCUGGCAUGUGGACAUCACUAGUAUCACUUUCUUCUCCCCCAUAGCUCAGAAUAAUCAACAACAGACCACUUAUUUCAAGCUAGAAAGGCAGCUGUCGGUGGCUUUCUGUGAGAGCUAAAGGCAGAGCAUAAGAGCAAAAGGAAUGUUAUAUUGUUCAGACCAUGAACAGGAUACUUCAUCUUCUAUGUGCAACUGCUCAGGUCAUUGUAGGUUCUUUUUUGAGGCUUUCCAGUUUGUUGUGGUGUUGUAUAGGGUCUGUCUGUCAUUUACCUAUUCAUGCAGUACUUGCCUGGCUUCUUUUUACACCCAUAUGUGGUUUUUUAUAGCCACAAUAGGAAGGAAUUCCACAUAUACUAUCCAUGUGUGUGAAGAACUAGCUCCUUUUGCUGGUUUUGAAUUCAGCUCUUGCUUUUUGGCCUUAGUUCUGGCAUUGGAAGUGACAGGAAGUGACUGGUCUCUGCCCACUUUCUUUGUGUAGCUAAGGCUUUCUUGGACCUUUACUCUAAACACCUAAGAUUCCUCUUUUCUAUAAUAAAGAGUUCCAGACUC